rnacentral:lncRNA from 1 species
CAGAGAGUGUGGGUGCUAGAGCCUUCUGCAGGGCUCAGGACACAUUCCCCAACACACCCAGGGCCAAUAAUUUGCACUGGGAUACAGAGAGGAGGCUCGGGGCCUCUGUCAACAGAUUGCCAUCCACUUAGAUGAGUAAAUGGUGCUGGCCCCGUGGUGUGGUGACAUCUGUCUGUCUGUCUGGUCUAGCAUCCAGCACAGUCCUGGGCACAUGAAUUGGUGCUGAUGCUGCUGAAGGAGUGAAUGCAGGCCAGAAGGAAGGAGUGCUGGGGAAGAAGUGAGCCAUGGAGCAGGCAGGAACCACGGACAGAGGCCUCCCAGUUCACUCGGGGACAUAUCCGCAGAUGUGAGAACUCAGAGAGAUGUUCAAGUUUCCUAAGAGGGCUUCAAUCAUGGCUCACAGACUACUAAUUUCCAGUUUCUUCUCUACCAGUCUGGAUGCCCAUGGUGAACUUUAGAGAUAUCCAUCAGCUCCAUCAAUUCCCUCAACUACAUCUACCUAGCUUUUGAGCCCAGAAGAACCCAAUCAUGUGUGUUCUCCUCAGCUCCCAGGCUGCUGAGCAAUGCUGGAGAAAAAUCACAAAACUAUACAGUUUGGUAUCUCUCCAGAAUUAUGGUUUCCAGCUUGAGUUGGAAAUUCAGAAUUACUUCAAAAUGUUUAAAUUUGUUUCUGGUCAGUUUCCUCCUUCAUUUCCCAGUUUCAUUUAUCACUCUAUUUAACUUGUUACCCAUCGCUGUCUGCUAUUAACCUUGCCUCCUUUUACACGAGAAAACAGAGGCCAUCAAAUGGCAUUUCCCAUCACUCCAUCACUCCACCUCUGUCAAUGAAUCCACCAGUAACAUCUCAGAGAUCCUUCUGUCUAGCACUGAUGAUCUUAUUGUAUCAGUUACUCCUUCUUCCUUUUGUAUUUUCAAUGCUCC